rfam:Pteropus alecto contig65328, whole genome shotgun sequence.
GUCUACAGCCAUACCAUCCUGAACACAUCCAAUCCCGUCCGAUCUUGGAAGCUAAGUAGGGUUGGACCUGGUUAGUACUUGGAUGGGAGACCAUCUAGGAAGACUAGGUACUGUAGGCA